AGCGAACGCUGGCGGCAGGCUUAACACAUGCAAGUCGAGCGGACCUUUCGGGGUCAGCGGCGGACGGGUGAGUAACGCGUGGGAACGUGCCUUCCGGUUCGGAAUAACCCUGGGAAACUAGGGCUAAUACCGGAUACGCCCUUAUGGGGAAAGGUUUACUGCCGGAAGAUCGGCCCGCGUCUGAUUAGCUAGUUGGUGGGGUAACGGCCUACCAAGGCGACGAUCAGUAGCUGGUCUGAGAGGAUGAUCAGCCACACUGGGACUGAGACACGGCCCAGACUCCUACGGGAGGCAGCAGUGGGGGAUAUUGGACAAUGGGCGCAAGCCUGAUCCAGCCAUGCCGCGUGAGUGAUGAAGGCCUUAGGGUUGUAAAGCUCUUUUAUCCGGGACGAUAAUGACGGUACCGGAGGAAUAAGCCCCGGCUAACUUCGUG
rnacentral:rRNA from 1 species